UACGGGGGGGCAAGCGUUGUUCGGAAUUACUGGGCGUAAAGGGCUCGUAGGCGGCCAACUAAGCCAGACGUGAAAUCCCUCGGCUUAACCGGGGAACCUGCGUCGUGGAUACUGGUUGGCUUGGAAUCCGGGAGAGGGAUGUGGAAUUCCAGGGUGUAGCGGUGAAAUGCGUAGAUAUCUGGAGGAACACCGGUGGCGAAGGCGGCAUCCUGGACCGGUAUUGGACGCUGAGGAGCGAAAGCCAGGGGAGCAAAGCGGGGAUUAAGAAACCCCGGG
rnacentral:rRNA from 1 species